GGGUGGACCAGAAGAGGCCUACAGAGAGUGGCGAGAGAUGCAAAAGAACUACAAAGAAGGCUCAGAAGAAGAGAUCUCUAUCGAAGUCUCCUAGUAACUGUAGCUGCGCAGAACUGCUUGGGACCCAGCUACAAGGCCGCAGCCUUGCAGCCUUUGCAGAUUCCCAUGUCUCUGCCCCCAGGACAAUCCUUCCAUUCUUCCCUAAGCUCUCCCUUCCCCUGGCGUGACCAGACAUAUUCUAUGCAGCCUAUCCCUCCAAGUUCACUUAUCACUAGCUCACGGGAUUUGAGGUUCCCCAGCAAGAAACCCACCUCUAUUCCUGAACCUUCUGUAUCCCCCUGUAUAUAAACUGUCUUCUUGUUUUAAUAAACGCCAUUUUGUGGGUCACAUA